rnacentral:rRNA from 1 species
UACGUAGGCAGCAAGCGUUGUUCGGAAUUACUGGGCGUAAAGAGUGUGUAGGCGGUGCUCUAAGUUCGGUGUGAAAUCUCCUGGCUCAACUGGGAGGGUGCGCCGGAAACUGGGGUGCUGGAGCGCGGGAGAGGAAAGCGGAAUUCCUGGUGUAGCGGUGAAAUGCGUAGAUAUCAGGAGGAACACCAGUGGCGAAGGCGACUUUCUGGCCUGUUCUUGACGCUGAGGCGCGAAAGCUAGGGGAGCAAACGGG